UACGUAGGGUGCGAGCGUUGCCCGGAUUUAUUGGGCGUAAAGGGCGCGUAGGCGGCUACGCACGUCCGUUGUGAAAUCGCUCGGCUCAACUGGGCGGGGUCAGCGGAUACGGCGUAGCUGGAGCAAGCUAGGGGGCAAUGGAAUUCCCGGUGUAGUGGUGGAAUGCGCAGAUAUCAGGAGGAACACCGGUGGCGAAGGCGGUUCUCUGGGCAUUACCUGACGCUGAGGAGCGAAAGCAUGGGGAGCGAACAGG
rnacentral:rRNA from 1 species